GGCAAGAUGGCCGAGCGGUCUAUGGCGUGUGACUCAAGCUUACUAAGCUUACCUGCUUUGCGGGUCUUCUCAUCCUCGUAAGAGGGCGUGGGUUCAAAUCCCACUCUUGUCA
rnacentral:tRNA from 1 species